rnacentral:rRNA from 1 species
UACGUAGGGUGCAAGCGUUGUCCGGAAUUAUUGGGCGUAAAGAGCUCGUAGGCGGUCUGUUGCGUCGGCUGUGAAAACCCGGGGCUCAACCCCGGGCCUGCAGCCGAUACGGGCAGACUAGAGUUCGGCAGGGGAGACUGGAAUUCCUGGUGUAGCGGUGAAAUGCGCAGAUAUCAGGAGGAACACCGGUGACGAAGGCGGGUCUCUGGGCCGAUACUGACGCUGAGGAGCGAAAGCGUGGGGAGCGAACAGG